AGGUGUGAGGGCGAUCUUGCUGUGACACCUGUUGGCCUAUUGAUCACCAGGGUUGAUUUGGCUGAUCUGGCUGGCUAGGCGGGCGUCCCCUUCCUUCCUCAAUGCUCCAUGUGCGUCCCUCCCGAAGCUGUGCAUUUGGUCAAAGAGGACGGCCUUCCCCGAAUAGAGACAGACCGGUCUUCGGUCGAGGGUAUACGAGUAGCUGAGCUCCCCUGCUAAAACCUCCAAACAAGCUCUCAAGAUUUAUUUACUGGUGACCCAGGAGGUGGCACAGUGAUAAAGUGUUGAAUUCACAGACAUGAGGUCCUUAGCUUGGCACCACAU
rnacentral:snRNA from 1 species